AUUGAACGCUGGCGGCAGGCCUAACACAUGCAAGUCGAGCGAGUGGCGGACGGGUGAGAAAUGUAUGGGGAAUGUCCGAUAGAGGGGGAUAAAUACUGGAAACGGGAGCUAAUACCCCAUACUAUCGGAUAAUGCAUAUGGGAUUAGUUAGUAGGUGUGGUAAAGGCUCACCUAGGCGACGAUCCCUAGCUGGUCUGUGAGGAUGUUCAGCCCCACUGGGACGGAGACACGGCCCAGACUCCUACGGAGGCAGAAGUGUGGAAUAUUGCACAAUGGGCGCAAGCCUGAUGCAGCCAUGCCGCGUGUAUGAAGAAGGCCCUAGGGUUGUAAAGUACUUUCAGCCAGGAGGCGUUACCGGCAGAAGAAGCACCGGCUAACUCCGUGCCAGCAGCCGCGGUAAUUC
rnacentral:rRNA from 1 species